UACGUAGGGCGCAAGCGUUGUCCGGAAUUAUUGGGCGUAAAGAGCUCGUAGGCGGCUUGUCACGUCGGUUGUGAAAGCCCGGGGCUUAACCCCGGGUCUGCAGUCGAUACGGGCUAGCUAGAGUGUGGUAGGGGAGACUGGAAUUCCUGGUGUAGCGGUGAAAUGCGCAGAUAUCAGGAGGAACACCGGUGGCGAAGGCGGGUCUCUGGGCCGAUACUGACGCUGAGGAGCGAAAGCGUGGGGAGCAAACAGG
rnacentral:rRNA from 1 species